GUCUAUGGGCAUACCACCCUGAACGUGCCUGAUCUCAUCUGAUCUCAGAAACUAAGCAGGGUAGAACCUGGUUAGUACUUGGAUGGGAAAAUAGUGAAACAUUUUCCUGUGAUGACUGGUCUCCAAGUUA
ensembl:rRNA 5S_rRNA 5S ribosomal RNA